GUGCACCUCACCUGAGCGCCUCAGGCUGGGAAUCCGAGGACCCGGGGACUGGUCUGUUUACAUGGAAUUCUCGCGACAGCUGGUUAGAAGCUCAAAGCACGUGGACAUGGCAGCUGCCAAUCACUUUUAGUUGGCCACUCAUCCAUUCCGAACCCGCCUUCUGCCCCGCCCUUGCAAAUGUGUUUAUCUUCCGGGAAGCUAGGUUGGUGGAGGUUGGUGGAGGGUGGUGGGCAGCCCUGAAGCUGAGGAGGUGUUGAUCUGAAGGAGAGCCGCGGCGCGUGAUCUCCUCAGUUUAAUCUAGGUUUAUGGACCACACCUGACUCCUUCCUUCCCUCCUUCUGCCUCCCAUAUUUUUUAUUUCUUCAAAUGUAUUGUUUGUCAGGAGUGACUGAAAUAAAAAUAUAAUAGAGUCCAUCAUCAUCAUGGGAAUGGCUUUAAAAGAAAACUCGUCAGAGGAAUAUUACUGCUUCCCAUUGUCAACCAGUAAAUAGUUGCAAUUGAAUUUCUUUGACUUGGUUUCAUCCUUUGUAAACUGUAGAAAGAAUAUUAUGUGCCUUGUAGGAUUUUUAUAGAAGUAAAUAAAUUUAAAAUUCUUAGAACUGUUAGGUCGAAAGGGGGUCCAGGAGCUGAUGCAUGCCUCCGCCAGGCAGAUGAUGAUGUAGAUACUGGGCCCUUCCUAGAAUCCGUAACAGGCCAGUGCACCAAACAGAUGACGACACCUGGAAGCCGUGACGACCCCCGCGGCAGGAACUCCCACAGCUCAUGCUGCACUGCCCUCACUGAACAGCUGUAUGAAAAAAUGCCCCUACUCCCUCUCGGCGCGACUGCACUGGCCCAAACCCAAGACCUGUGGACCUCGCCCGAGAGCGCAGAAUAAAUUCUCCUCCUUCAAUCUGCCGGACUCUCUGACUCAGUUUCCUGCUCCGCGAACCUCACAAGAACCAGUUAGAAACUUCUCCAAAUUAACUAAUUACUAAUUAACCAAUGAACUAGUUCUAAGUCCUCCAUUUUUUUCUCUGCAGAGAUGGUGUGAUUCUUUCAUGAGCUUUCAAAUAAAAAAUAAAAUGAAUGGUAAUCAUUUUUUGAAUAUGAGUGCUUAGUACAUAUUGCCAGCUCAUGAAUAAUUUCAAAGUUAAGGGACCUGGGGAAACUUUUCA